UAUUUUCUGUGGUUUAAUAGCCUAAGUUAUGUCGCAACGUAACUCAAAGCAAAAGGGUAAAAGCUUGAUGUCCCAACCUUCGACACAACCCCGACAGGUGCAUGAAAGUGAUUCCGAGCGUGGGUGGGAUGGUAACUUCCCAUCCAACAACUGUAAUAUACUCUUCAAAGAAUGGGUGGGAUGAAUCUCUGCGGCUUCUCUCGUUGCAUGAUAACAAAUAUUUGCGGUAUUUCAAGGGUCAUCAUGACAGGGUUGCCUCACUUAGUAUGUGCUCCAAAAAGGAGUGCUUUAUUUCUGG